rnacentral:piRNA from 1 species
GAGACUGUUGCCUUAAUCUGAGC